GUGAAUCAUCGAAUUUUUGAACGCAAAUUGCACUCCCUUCGGAGAGUAUGCGCGUUUGAGGGUCAGCCUAUAAAAAAUCGACAUCGUUGAUGUUUCGCGGUGACGAUCGACGGAAAUUGGGUCAUAUUAAAUUCUUUUGGUUUUAAGCGACUUAAAAAUUUCUUUUUGGUUCUAUGAACGUUUCUAAGAUUUACUUCUUUACACGUUUAAGGA
rnacentral:misc_RNA from 1 species